rnacentral:lncRNA from 1 species
CUUGCCGAACACGAUCAAAGCAAAUUUAAGCAUGCAAAGAGAUAGAACAUUAUACUUUAACCAAAAUAAAAAAAUGGCAUGUUGGUGUUCUCUACAAGACCCCAAGGUAGAAGUCCUAUAAUGGUGAUCCAUACAAAAGUUGGCCAAGGUCCUUCCCAACCGGUACGCAGCUGCAGCCUUGUCUUCUCAAGAAUACUGUCAGCUUCAAACUUGCAUCAUGAUCACACCAAAGCCUAGUUGCUUUUGAUC